AAUAAAAAUAGAAGCAGAGGCAUACAAUUAAACCGCCACUGAACCUGGGAAACGAACAUCUCCAAUGGCUCGCGUCGCCUCAAACCCUCUUUCUCUGCCCAGAUUUAGGCCAUACUUUCAAGUUUCAGACUCAACCCACCACCUCUUCAAAUCUCCUUCUCUUUCCCAGAACAGAAUUCGCAAGUUUCAAACCAUUGCCUGUCAAACAAAUCCGAUCCCCGCCGAAACAGAAUCCUCCGAUAAGGAAAAGGUACUUGUGGAGCUUGAUUCAGUCAAAGAUAGCACUAGCGAAGCUACAACUUCCUCUGAUGGAGGCGGCUCUUCUGAAUUUCCAAACAAAAAUUUUAGUAGGCGAAUAGCAGUUGGUUCUACCCUUGCUGCAGUGGGACUUUUCCUGUCAUCACGAUUGGACUUUGGUGUUUCUUUGAAGGACUUAUCUGCUGAAGCAGUGCCUUUUGAAGAGGCUCUUUCAAAUGGAAAGCCAACUGUUGUAGAGUUCUACGCAGAUUGGUGUGAAGUAUGCCGGGAAUUAGCUCCUGAUAUUUAUAAAGUAGAGCAGCAGUACAGGGAUCGUGUGAAUUUCGUUAUGCUGAAUGUCGACAACACGAAGUGGGAACAAGAACUCGAUGAGUUUGGUGUCGAGGGUAUUCCGCACUUUGCGUUCCUGGACAAAGAGGGGAACGAGGAAGGAAACGUCGUAGGCAAGCUUCCGAGGAAGUACUUCCUCGAGAACGUGGAGGCUCUUGCCAGGGGCGAGGCAUCGGUUCCUCAUUAUCGCGAGGUGGGACAGUAUUCGAGUGCCGAAUCAAGGAGGGUGCACGGGGUUGUUGAUCCCAGAAGUCAUGUGUAGAAUGAUGUUAUCUUCUUUUGAGAAGUAACCCCAUUAAUUCUUCCCCCAAGUAUAAAUACACAUACAAAGGGUUUGUUUUAGCAUUUUGUGAAUGGUGGAAACAGUUACCAGUAUUACUUUGAUGGUCUCCCUUUGCAAAUCAGCGGCCUAUGCCUCCGCAUUUGGUUCUUGCAGAGAAGGCUGGUUUUAUAGCUGUCUCGGCCUUGAUCCAUAAACAAACAACACCAAAAGGUUAUUUGAAACUCUACACUAUUAAAUAUUCCUUCUUUUUUAUAUUUUCUUUGGAUUUGUAUUAAAAAAAAGUUUGGGGGAAGAAUGUUGGUUUACAAGCAGAAGAAGAAUCAGGGUCCCAAGGGCAACAGGCUCUUGGUAAGCAUCAUUGUUCAUGGAAGUGCAGGACCCAUCCGGUUUGUUGUUAACGAGUAAGAGCUUGUUGCCGGCGUCAAUGAUACUGCUUUGAAAGCAUAUGCUCGUGAGUGUGGGCUUCCUGAUUUUGGAUCUGAUAUCAACUGUUUCUUCCUUUAUUGCCCUGGUGCUCGAUCCGAUGCACUGAGUCCGUGGGAGACGAUUGGAUCACAAGGGGCGAGAAAUUUCGUGAUGUGCAAUAAACCAAUGAGUGAGGGUCUGGAAGAUGUUGAGAGGUCUACUAGGAAUUGGAAGGCAUGGAUUCAUAAGUCCUUCAGUAUUAAGAUCUUUUCCCUUUAAAAUCUAUUUUAUGGCCUUUGUUUAUUCAUAAGUAAUCUUGGAUGACCGUGGUUGCAUGUUUUCACGGCUUUUCGACCUAAAUGUCAUCCUUUUUUUUAUAAUAUUCCCGAUGUAACUCCGUUUUUC